rnacentral:rRNA from 1 species
GACGAACGCUGGCGGCGUGCUUAACACAUGCAAGUCACGGGGGCUCGCAAGGGCAACCGGCGAACGGGUGCGUAACACGUGAGCAACUUACCGAUUUGUGGGGGAUAGCCGGCCCAACGGCCGGGUAAUACCGCAUACGCUCUUUGGGUGGAGUCACCUGAAGAGGAAACCUCCGGGGCAAAUCGAGGGGCUCGCGGCCUAUCAGCUUGUUGGUGGGGUGAUGGCCUACCAAGGCGACGACGGGUAGCCGGCCUGAGAGGGCGACCGGCCACACUGGGACUGAGAUACGGCCCAGACUCCUACGGGAGGCGGCAGUGGGGAAUCUUGCGCAAUGGGCGAAAGCCUGACGCAGCGACGCCGCGUGAGGGAUGGCG